rnacentral:ncRNA from 1 species
UGGGCAGUAUCCUCGAUGUGAACUGCACCUUGUAAAAGACUUUUAUAAUUAAAAAAGGUUUCUGCCUAGAUCCGUAUGACGGACCGGGACAGAGGG